rnacentral:tRNA from 1 species
CAAAUUACAGUUUAAGUAAAUAUUUCAUUUACAUUGAAGAGAAAUUGAUUUUUAUCAUUUAAUUUGA